rnacentral:rRNA from 1 species
UAACGAGAAAGCCCCGGUAACUACGUGCCAGCAGCGCGGUAAUACGUAGGGGGCGAGCGUUUCGGAAUAUUGGGUAAAGCGCGCGCAGGCGGUCCCUUAAGUCUGAUGGAAAGCCCACGGCUCAACCGUGGAGGGUCAUUGGAAACUGGGGGACUGAGUGCAGAAGAGGAGAGCGAAUUCCACGUGUAGCGGUGAAAUGCGUAGAAUGGGAGGAACCGGGGAAGGGGUUUGUCUGUAACUGACGAGGCGAAAGCGUGGGGACAAACAGAUUAGACCCUGGUGUCCCCCGUAAACGGAGUAGUUUAGGGGGUUAACCUUUAGUGCUGUAGCUAACGCGUUAAGCACUCCGCCUGGGGAGUACGGCCGCAGGCUAAACUCAAGGAUUGAGGGGCCCGCACAAGCGGUGAGCAUGUGUUUAUUGAAGCAACGCGAAGACUUCCAGGUUUGACAUCCCCUGACACCCGGAGACAGGUUC